AAAGGGCCAGCGCGUUACCGCCGGGCCUUCCGCCGCCCGCCCCCCGCCCCGCGUCCCAAGUUAUGUCCAGGAGGCAGGAGGUCGUCUGCUCCGCUCCCACCUCUUUCUCCGGGCGCCGCGAAGCCGGCGCGGAGCCGCGGAGGAAGUUCACAGCGUGCGGCGCAGAGCGCUAACUGCACGGAGGUUCCGGGCUCGGGAGGCCCGCGGUCGGGAAUUUCCUAAAGGAAGCACCUCGCAGGGGCCCUCGGGGGGUCGGCGCGAGAGCUCCGGCUUGGAGGACCGGGUUCUAGACAGGAGUCAGAGUCUGAUUUCCCGCGGGACGUCCUCCAGAUCGCUUCCCUCAGUGGGCCUCGGUUUCCCGAGCUAUCAGCCGAGCUCGUCGCACCCGGACAGCCACCCUGAAGUCUAGCCACCAUGCUGUGAGGAAGCCCAGGCCACAUGGAGAGAGGACAGGAGGCUCUCCAGGAAGGCUCUCAGCUCCCAGCCAGCCUCACUCAUCAGAUAAGUGAUUAGGCCAUUAACACUGGCCACAGUCCUCAGUGAAGUUGUGAACGGUACCAGCUGAAGGGCAUCACGGCUGCAGUCGUUCAAGAUGGCGACACCCUUCAAGUUGAAGGUGGAGCGUUGUCUUCAAAACACAGAUGGAAGCUGGAGUGACUGCCAACAGCAUGCAUUCCUGAGGUGGUCUGAUGGAGCAUGGGGCCCUAGUGAGGGCGUGGAUCCCCAAGCAGGAGGCAUCUGCUCAUGGAGAAAAUCUGUUAGCUGAGAAAUCCCUGGCUUCCGGUCAGGCCCCGCUGGGGCAAAUGGACUAAGGAGCACAGUGCACUGGCGCCGAAUGCUUCCCACGCGCCCGAGAGCUUUCUGUGGAUUGUUCCUGAAGCCUCAGAGCAACUCUAUGAGGCCAGCUGGGGGCUCUACUCAGUGUUGUCGUCACUCCAGGACCCCAACUGAUAAGAGAAGCUGCCAUCUGGAUUACUGCAGGUUGUCAAAGCAGAGGGAAAGAGAACUCUAACAAUUAAAAUGCUUCAGCCUAGAAGUGACACAUGGUAAUUCUGCACAUAACUCAUUGACCAGAAUGAUCACAUGGUUCCUGCCCAACCAUAAGGAGGCCAAGGAGUGCAAACCUACUGUGUGCCAAGCAGGUGGCAAGUUAGAAAUAUAUGGGAGAAGGCUCCCACAUUGGUUUCCAGAAGCCCAAGAGACACCCAAGUUGAAUUCAACACAAACAGUCGCUGAGCAAUUCCUGCGGACAAACCGCUGUGCUUUGGAUGGUAAAAGACCCUGACUUCAGGCACCUUGCAUUCCAGCAAGGAAAUAGCCAUGAAGCUCCUCACAACAAAACACUGGCCUGCACAGGGAGAGACGGAGGAGAACCACACGUCCAGAGAGUCUGGGAAAGGCAGAGCCGAGAGCCUUUUAAAGAAUAGAAGCAGGAGGGUGGGCGAUGGUGGAAGAGAGAGGCGUGGACAAAGACUGAGCGUGGAGACCUUCAGGAAAAGAUGGCCGAGAGCACAAAGAAAGAGAUGAAGUCACAGCUGGAAGAGGAGCUGUCAGAGGUGUAUCUGGGCAUCGCGGAUCUUCUCCAGGAAUCCUACAAGGACGGUGGCUGGUCUGAAACACGGCAUGGCAGUUAAGAGAAGAGGCUUGAAAUGAGUCUGUACACAUCUGGAUUCAAAUCCGUGCUCUGUGACUGUAAGCAAGUUGGUUAAGCUUUCUGAAGCUGAAAGCCCCCAUAAAAUGAAGACGGCGGCAUUUACGUCAAACACUCGUAGGGAAUGGAGGGGACAACCUGUGUAAAGUGUCCGGGAUACAGUAACAUCAUUGGCUUGGGAGCCAAUCCAUUGAGGACAGAAAGCUUGAACCACUGUAUCUCAGUGGGAGAGACAGAUUUGAUGAUGUUCCUCCCUUGUUUCAAACUCUGCCAGGGUUUCCCCUUUGUUCUGAGAUAGCAGUGUCUUUAGCAAGGCUGUCCAAGUCCCGGGCAGGCUGGCCCCUCUUCUUUGCCUCUCCCCAAUCAGACGGUCUUUCUUUUCUUCUCCAGUCUCUUGAGCAAGCCUGGAACACCUCUUUCUCUCUGUCUCGUCCUGGACAGCUCCCUCUUUCCCUGAAACACCCCACACGGCCUGCCCUCACUCCCUCCACUUCAAAAUUUCAGUCUCUGCCUGCUUCUGCAUGUGGCUUCCUUGGCCAAACCUCCCCCAUCCAAAGGCUGCAUUGGUCCCUUGUUACCUGCUCCUGCUCCCAGGUGUCACGGAAAGUCUCCCGCAUAAGAGACCCUUGCAAACCGCUAGUUCGAAGUUCAUCUUCUCUGCCAAAGCAGCAGCACCCACCGUGCUCCCCAGAUCUCGCUCCCUGCCAGGUGAUGAAUGAAUGUGCAAAGACGGCAGGCCGAAGUGACCAGAGUCGCUGGGGAAAAACGAGGGCGGCACACCUGGGAUCGGAAAGAAUUUGCCUUUCUGGGUGUUUGCUGAGAGAAGAUACAACUCCCUGCCUGGGAACUUGAAGGUGGGUCCCCGGAAGGGCUCGUCCCGCUUCUGUGCAACUCUCCUGUGCCUGGCCAAGCCCACGGGCAGGGCUUCUCUGGGAUUCCAGGGGCUUCUGUCCUUUGGGAGCAAAGUGAAUUUGCAGCAGAGGCAGAAUAAAGUGUAGGAGGUGGUAGGGUCUUCACUCUUCCUCCGGUUGGCCCCCGACAUACCCUGUGCAAGCGAGGAGAUUUUGCUCCCUGGAUCAGCUUCCGGCCCUCCCUUGCGUCCUGCAGGAGAAUAGAAGGAAGUCCAGAGGCUAAGCCGGCCUAGGCGAGGAAGAGCCCCAGAGGCUGAGCCGGCCAAGCUGGGGCAGUCUGGAGAUGCCCGAGAAAGAUCUGCGGGAGCGGCUCUGCGAGGGGCAGGGAGACGAGGAAAGAGGUUCUGAUGAAGCUUUGCAGCGCAUUAAAAAUGUGAUGUCCUGCAAAUGGUGUGGACCAAACUGAGGGCAGCAGAGAUUUGGAGCACUUUGGGCUAUUCUGUAGCUCACUGGAUUGUUGUUUUCUUUAGCAGUGAGUGGCUGGGCACUGGGGCUUCAUCUAAGACUUCCAUUCAAUGCGGGGCCUUAAGAAUGGGCCCCGGAGUGGAAGUGCAGUCCAUUCUCUCAUCUUCCUGGGCCAGCCAAAGAGCCUGGCUUGCCCCUCCUUUCUAUCCUAUUUUGGCCUCGCUCCAAGCUUGAUCGUGGGGACUUGUCACGUCUGCCUGUGGGAAGGUCUGGUUUUCUCUCUUCUCCACACGGGAAGUGGGGAGAGACUCUUCAGGACCCAAAUGAGAGCCCCGGUGCCUUCAUUUUGCCUUGUGACAGCUGCGAAAGGGCUCUUGGCACAGAUGGGCUGGGCAUUUGGCUGACUGCUUUUGAGGCUAGAGAGAGAGCAACGGAGGGUGGUGACUGGGUGUGAAAGGGAAUUCAUGGCUGACAAAGAUCCUGUCUGAACAUCUGUGAUCAAUGAAGUUUAUUCACUGCUCCCUAUUACCUGCCUGUAUGGCCUGCUGCCUUUCUGGCGUCUCUGCCUGGACAUUCAGCAGCAUCUCCAACUUAACGUGGCUGAUUCUCCCACCUGGCCCCCAGACUUGCCUUCUCUGCUUCUUUCCACCUCAGUGGAUGACAACCCUGGUGGCUUCAAAUUAGAGCCAGGACCCAAGUGUUCCUUCAUACCUGCUCUCUCCUCUGACCCUGGUCUAAGCCAUUCACCAUCCUGGUCUUAUCAAUCCAGCAGCCGAAGUCGCCUGUUGAGAUGUGCAAUCAUGGCAUUCCUCUAUUCAAAAUCUUUCACUUAAGAGUGAAAACCUCACUUACUAUGGCCUCAUGUUCCCUGUAUGACUUGCCCCACUCCCUCUUGCCUCAACCCGUUCCACUUCAGCCACACUUACUUCCUUGAUGUUCACUGAACACACAUGGCAUACUGCUACCUCGGGGCCUUUGCACGUGCUGGUCCUGCCUGGAGAGCUUUUUCUCUGGAUACCCACGUGGCCCUCACUUUCUUCAUCUUACUAUUACACGUGACAUUCUCACUGAGGCUGCUCUGACCACUCCUUUUAAAAUUGUAUCCUGCCUCCCCAUUCCUGAUCCCCCAUACCCUGCUCUUUCCCUCAUGGAACUUACCUAACAAACUAUGUAAUUCGGUUAUUUAUUGUGCUCAUUGUCUCUUUCUUCCUCUCACUAGAGUGUGCGCUCCAUGAAAAAAGAUUGUGCUUGUUCUCUUUACUGAUAUAGUCUCCAUGCCCAGAACAGUGCCUGGCACAGGGCAGACCCUUGGUAAGUAUUUGUUGAAGGAAUGAAUGACCCUAAGUUGUAUUUUCCCCUUUCACUUCUUUGGUAACAAAAAGAGGGGGAAAGAGUAUUUGGAGAAUGAAUGAAGAGAGAUAAAGAUAUGAAUGAGGUUUAUUAGCUAGUCUGAUCACAAUUAGCCAUACAGAUGGGAAGAACUAGUACAGAAAAUCCUAAAAUACAGAUAGUCCGAGAAGUAUUUCUAUUUUGAUUAUGUUAUGUGAUGUUAUGGUUGUCUCUUUCCUAUUUUUUAAGGUGGCAGCAUGAAUACCAGCUGUGUGUUUGUGUUUGUGUGUGUCUGUAUGUGUUAAGUGUGUAUGCAUACACACCUGUGAGGUAGUGAGGGGAAAUUACCUAAAAAUCAUCCACAAACUGGGUACUUUCAUUCCUACAAAACAUUUCAUGCAUAAGACUUGCUAAGUAUCAAGUUUAAAGACUACUAUGUGAAUAUGACCUUCCAAGAGCUUCAGGAAACUUACAAACAGCUCAUUGAAAGUUGACCAGAGCCUGAACUAUCCAUGUAUAUGAGUUCUGUGGGCAUCAAGGUUGGCUGGUUGUCUUCUAGACUUCCAAUUCUACUCUGCUUGUGUAAUAGCUGGACAGUUAAGGGGGACUAGUGCUCCCCUGAAUCUGGUACAAGUAAUCCCUUAAGAGAAAAGCACAAGAGCCAUUUGGAUUCAGAAUGAUGCUCAGAUAUUUUCCAUGGUUGUAGGAAGAGAUGUUCUUUCUCUGCUUACAAUGUGAAAUAAAAUGCUGGCAGCCCUCUGCUACUAUGAAAGAGGCUAGCUUGAGGACAAAGCAGACAGCAGAGGGCAGAACCGAGAACCAAAGAAGCAGAGCCACGGCCCUAUUGACUUUGUGAACCUCUGGAUCAAACCCUACCUGAUGCGUGCACCAUUUCUGGACUUCACAUAAAUCCAAGACAAUAAAUCCACUAAGCUGGUAUGAACCAGGAUGUCUUUUAUUUGCAAUGAAAGGCAUCCUGAUACAGUGCUCCUCACUUUCUUUUAGACCAUCCCCUCUGCUUCUCACUGCUCCCAAGUGUGGAUGACAUCUGUGUCCUUCGUGCAGCCAGCAUUAUGAUCACGCAUACACAGACGCAUUUCAGAAUCCUAAGGCAGUGAACUCUUUUUGGUUUACAUACAUGUGAUGUUCCGUUUUUCUGGCAAAAUGUAGAUUAACUAGGAUGCCUCACAUUAAUGUUAAAACUCUAGUAGCAGGGGGCCUCAUAGACCUAUGUUUUUCAAGUUGCAUUUCUGAAGCUUUGCCGAACAUGCUUUUAAAAUGCCUACUUGGGAGCACCUGGGUGGCUCAGUUGUUCAGUGUCUGCCUUUGGCUCAGAUCAUAAUCCCAGGAUCCUAGGAUUGAGCC